GUGCUCACUUCAGCAACACAGAUUAUAAGUUGGAAUGAUACACAGAAGAUCAGCAUGGCCUCUGCACAAGGCUGUCAAGCAAAUUUAUGAAACAUUCCAUUUUUUU